UGGUGUGUGAGCUGCGGAGAACGUCGCGGGAACACUUUCUCCGAUUUCAAACGUAAAAAUGCCUUCAAAUUUUCCGAAACAAAUCAAAACGGCUGUAGCAGAUGAGGUGACGACCCCGGGGCCCAUAGAUGUGAAAGCGAGAAUGAUCAGUGCCAGUCUUCAGAAUGACGAGGUGGCAGUGCCCAGUUUAAGCAGGGGCAUGGAACAACUCUUCCCUCCGUGAAAAGACCUCCAUGGAAACAGAAAUAACUCUGGGCCAAGUCUCAGUAGAACCAUACCUUAUCCCGACGUCACCAACCAAAAGGGAAGGACGCGUUUUCCAGUGGUCAUGCCAUUCUACUACCCUACCAAACUGGAGCGCCACCUGUUCACACAUGUAGUGCCUUCAUAGCUUUUUGUAAGAAAUAUCUUUUUUUAAACCUAUUAGUGAUUUUUAAAUAUGGACAGAUGAAGAUACCAGUUCAAGUUGAACAUUUGAAUUUGUCCUAAAAAUUUCAAAUAUCAGUCCUUGUUUGCUUUUGAAUGGGGCCUGGUGCAAGAGCGUUUGGGCUUGUGUCAUACUGGGCUUCAAAGCCCGUGAUAAAUUACCUUGUAAUGAGUUUUGCAUGAAUGU